CGUGACUGCGGAGACAUUA
rnacentral:rRNA from 1 species